rnacentral:rRNA from 1 species
UACGAACUGUGCGAACGUUAUUCGGAAUUACUGGGCUUAAAGGGUGCGUAGGCGGCUCGGAAAGUAGGGUGUGAAAUCCCUCGGCUUAACCGAGGAACUGCGCCCUAAACUACCGUGCUUGAGGGAGAUAGAGGUGAGCGGAACUUAGGGUGGAGCGGUGAAAUGCGUUGAUAUCCUAAGGAACACCGGUGGCGAAAGCGGCUCACUGGAUCUCUUCUGACGCUGAGGCACGAAAGCUAGGGUAGCGAACGGG